AGGAGUGGAGCUUUAAUGGAACCAGAGGAUCUGUUUCAGCUUCGAUCUGGAGCCUGAAAAUCUUCACAGAUGUUUGGAUCUAAAAACAUGUGAAUCUGCUGGAGAUUUGCUUUUCUAUAAAGGGAGGAGCAUCGUGUUCAGUGGGCGUGGUUACAGCAUGCACAGGUGUGUAUGUGCCCCUCCCUCCCCCGAGGGCUGCCAUGCGCGGAGGGGAUGUUGUUAGGCCGUUUCCAUGGUAACCACUUCCAGCUGAAGCUGCUGCUGUCACCAUCCGGUUUGAAGAAGUGAAUGAAGCAUCAGAACCGGGUCGGAUGUUUCGCGGAAUAAAAGCGGAACCACGAGCGCAUCUGGAGUCCAGCGCUGAAGGACGGAGUUCGGUGCUGUGCUGGUUCACCUGGACCCGCGCGGACCCGCAGCAGUUUGCGCUGGCGGUCGAGCUCCUGCUCGUACCGCAGGAUGGUCCUCUCGAACUCCGAGAAGAUCUCCUCCGCGGCGGCCGACAGCUUCUGGCUGAUCAGGUUUCUAAGGGAGCCGAGAGGGGACAUCUUUAGUCUGUUUGUUUGGACGGAACCGGACCGGACCCAGACCUAAUGCUGCUGCGCUUCUUCUAGGAAUAUGUGGACACCAGAUUUACAGAGCUCGGUGCUUUACCGCCACCUGCUGGUCAGGAGGGAGAUGGACCGGCUCUUUUUGGUUUUUUAUUCAAUAAUUUUAUUUAAAAAAUGAAUACAAGCAGAAUACAGUUUGGAAAAAUCCUAUUUAAUAGGAAAUGUAGUAUAGCAACUAUUUUUAAAACACAAAAAUGAAUAAAAGCUGUUAUAGUUUAUUAA